CGAAAAUCCUUCUCUCGGAGAUUCGCCAAAGAUCAAGUGACGAAGAUUCAUAGUUCGCUUGCGUUAUAUAUAUCGCCGGAGUUGGAGAGCCACCCCACGGGAUAAAUUCUCCCUGAAAGCAGCAGCAUGCGCUCUUGUCUCGCCGGAUGCUACAACCCUCCCUCCUCGAUCCACUUUCGCCGCCGCAGCAUCGAGGAAAUUUGAGGAAAUUUGAUAUGAAACAUCAAGAAAGCGUGUAACAUCUGUCCCUCAUCCGAUGGUAACCAGGCAACGCAGAGUAAAUCUGACUCGGGGUAGCAGAGACGGAAAAACGACAACGUUAAUGUGAUUUCUUGAAGAGUAUUCGGACCAAAAAGUGUCAAGGAACCAUCGUCCGACCGAAACUUUCGACCAGUUACCGUUCUUCUGAAAAUGAUUGACAUAUAUUCAAAUUCGGACGUCUUUCCGUAUCUAAAGUACAUUUGACUUUUUUGAUUAUUUUCACUUGAAAAAAUGUCAUGUCGAAUGGACGAUUGAAAAUCGGUGUUAUGGCGAAUUGUUCUUCUUUUCUUUCUUUACUUUUCUUCAAAACACGCGAGCUAAAUCUGAUUUUUGGUGAAACUGCGCCGAAAGAAUAACCUUGAAUUUUUUAUCUUUUCCGGUCAGAAUUUUUACGUUUCUGUUUUUUCGCUGAAUGUUUCAAAAUCGUUGAUGAAUGUGAAAAAAAUUAGAAUAUACGCAUCGGUUUUACCACAUAAAUUUUCUAAACCGGAAAAUUUCGCUUCGUUUGUAAAUAAUUUGAUAAAAAAAUAAGUUGAUUCGAAAAUAGCUUCUAUAACAAUAACUUGAGCGGCAAUGACUUCGGUAAUAACGAACGACUUUCAUAAUUGGAUAUCUCAAAACUAUAGCAUGAAUAAUUAUAAUAACAAUAAAUAAAAGAAGAGCGACUUGAAGAGCAAGACAAGAGAGUUCACUACCAGCUUCCGAAAGAAACACACGUCAUUAUAUUAUCUUUUUCUGUUCAAAUGUAGAAUAAAGAUAAAAGAUUGAUUAAUAAUA